GACGAACGCUGGCGGCGUGCCUAAUACAUGCAAGUCGAGCGGACAGAAGGGAGCUUGCUCCCGGAUGUUAGCGGCGGACGGGUGAGUAACACGUGGGUAACCUGCCUGUAAGACUGGGAUAACUCCGGGAAACCGGAGCUAAUACCGGAUAGUUCCUUGAACCGCAUGGUUCAAGGAUGAAAGACGGUUUCGGCUGUCACUUACAGAUGGACCCGCGGCGCAUUAGCUAGUUGGUGAGGUAACGGCUCACCAAGGCGACGAUGCGUAGCCGACCUGAGAGGGUGAUCGGCCACACUGGGACUGAGACACGGCCCAGACUCCUACGGGAGGCAGCAGUAGGGAAUCUUCCGCAAUGGACGAAAGUCUGACGGAGCAACGCCGCGUGAGUGAUGAAGGUUUUCGGAUCGUAAAGCUCUGUUGUUAGGGAAG
rnacentral:rRNA from 1 species